rnacentral:rRNA from 1 species
GACGAACGCUGGCGGCGUGCUUAACACAUGCAAGUCGAACGGAAAGGCCCCUUUGGGGGUACUCGAGUGGCGAACGGGUGAGUAACACGUGAGUAACCUGCCCUUGACUUCGGGAUAACUUCAGGAAACUGGGGCUAAUACCGGCUAGGAAUCCUUGCUGCAUGGUGGGGGUUGGAAAGCUUCGGCGGUUUUGGAUGGACUCGCGGCUUAUCAGCUUGUUGGUGGGGUAGUGGCUUACCAAGGCUUUGACGGGUAGCCGGCCUGAGAGGGCGACCGGCCACAUUGGGACUGAGAUACGGCCCAGACUCCGACGGGAGGCAGCAGUGGGGAAUAUUGCACAAUGGGCGGAAGCCUGAUGCAGCAACGCCGCGUGCGGGAUGACGGCCUUCGGGUUGUAAACCGCUUUCAGCAGGGGCGAAGCUUGUGGUGACGGUACCUGCAGAAGAAGCACCGGCUAACUACGUG